UCGUGAUCCACCCGCCUCGGCCUCCCAAAGUGCUAGGAUUGCAGGCAUGAGCCACCGCGCCCGGCCAUCUCAGGUUUAACGGGGGCACUGCUGCCUCAGAUGCCGGAAAGUGGGUGGUGAGGUCCCUGUCCUCACUGGGGUCUGCAGCCAAGGACUGGCCACCGAAGCCCAGGACUGCCAUCCUGACCUCGGUGGCCACGGCCAGUCCCCCCGGGAGCCCCUAACACCUUGGGCCUGCCCCCAGCUCUCACGGCAGGAGAGGUUUUUUCCUACUCUGGUGGCCGACACCCUGGUGAAGGGAUUUGCAGAACGGGAGCACGUGGAUUUCCAGUUCUUCCCAGCAGGCACAGGCAGGCUGGUACUCUCUCCCUCCCCUUUGGGCAACACUCGGGUGCUGCUAGACCCUUGGCCCUGCUCACUGCGUGGGCCGUGCUCCACCCAUUCCCUCCCAGCAAGGGUGGUCCUGGGGCUCCCCUGACCUGAACUCUUCUGAGUUUGCUUCUCAGAACCAAGAGGGGCUGGCUCUGCGCCCUACCUACCUGUCCAGGGGUGGGAGCUGACCUUUGAAGCUAUCAAUCUGGGUUUUAAGUGUGGAUUCAUUAUUUACAACACCCUGACAUCAUGCUGACAUGAAUUAUUUGUAUGUUUUUCAAAUUGUGCUGUGAUAACCCUGGCUGUCUUCCUGCUCCCAUAGUGGAUAAAAGCAUCCUAAAGAAUGCCGCCAUCUCCCUUCUCCUCACAGCCUGGAGCUGGGCCAACCGGAGCUGAGCCACCACGGGUGCUCAGUGCAGCCUGGUUUGACCCUCACCCUCCUUCACCUGGCUGGGAUGUUCCCCCAAAGAACGGAAGGACUCUGGCCCCUUGAGGAACAGGGAAGCCUCUGCCUGGGUAGCCAUUGGCAGCUUGUAUGUAAGAAGCACCAGGAAACACCCUCCCCCAUGGACACUAAAGCAGGGGCCAUUCUGUCACAGAGCAGCCACCUCCAGAUGGCCGUGCACCUGCACACCUGCUGGCACACCCUGCCCGGAGCCAGGUGAGCUCCCUGUACCUGGAGAAGCCCGGGGCUUGCAUGGGUAGGCUGCAG